rnacentral:rRNA from 1 species
GAUGAACGCUGGCGGCGUGCCUAAUACAUGCAAGUCGAGCGAACGGACGAGAAGCUUGCUUCUCUGAUGUUAGCGGCGGACGGGUGAGUAACACGUGGAUAACCUACCUAUAAGACUGGGAUAACUUCGGGAAACCGUAGCUAAUACCGGAUAAUAUUUUGAACCGCAUGGUUCAAAAGUGAAAGACGGUCUUGCUGUCACUUAUAGAGGGAUCCGCGCUGCAUUAGCUAGUUGGUAAGGUAACGGCUUACCAAGGCAACGAUGCAUAGCCGACCUGAGAGGGUGAUCGGCCACACUGGAACUGAGACACGGUCCAGACUCCUACGGGAGGCAGCAGUAGGGAAUCUUCCGCAAUGGGCGAAAGCCUGACGGAGCAACGCCGCGUGAGUGAUGAAGGUCUUCGGAUCGUAAAACUCUGUUAUUAGGGAAGAACAUAUGUGUAAGUAACUGUGCACAUCUUGACGGUACCUAAUCAGAAAGCCACGGCUAACUACGUG